AGGAAUCAGGGAAGAUUAAAAGCUGAGCAGAAUGUAAUAUCUCUGAAUUACCUUCUGACCUUUUUGAGGCUGCAACCACUGGCUCAGAACCCACUUCUGGAAUCUACUCUAAAGAGCAAUUGACCAACAACUGCUGCCAAGUUUCCGAGUGCACUCACAUGAUUCUGGAAGUGGCAGUUUCAAGCAGCUGUGAUGAGGUGGUGAGCAGUGAGUUGCUCCUCACUCAUGCAGUGGGCCCUGGAAUGAAGAGGAGGAAAGCAGACCUGAUUAUUUUGUACAUGUGUACUUAUUUGUACAUGAAUUUACACUGGAAGUGUGCAGUGCAGAGGCAGCACAACAGGUCUUAAGUUGGAUCCUCCAAUUUCUAGCUUUGUGACUUCAGAAAUGGAGAUGGGGCUCAGAGUCCCACAGCCUCCCACUGGCAGGCCCGAGUAUCAUCUGAAGCCACCCAGCUCUGUGCCUGCCUGCAGCCCCAGACCUCCAGCUUUCUACUAACGUCAGCAUUGCCUGCCCUGGGGCAACCCCUGUUUCUCCAUGUGUCUCCUCUGGGUCUGGUCAUGAUGCCUGGGGAGCCAAUGCUGCUUUGCUGUGUUGUAUCAUUUGGGAUCAACUUGCCUGACUCUUACAAAGGACUUGAAACCUUGGGGAGAUAAAUAAAAUUCAAGAUACCUCAGGCUCUCAGCAAGUCACAAGAAAACAAGAAAACAUGAUGCUGUCUGAGCAAUUGGUACAGGAAGCCUGGACACAUUGCUGAGGAAAUCAGAACUUCUUUGCAAAAGAUGGUGACAAUCUGUGGCCAAGAUGCUGCCGGGAGAUGAUUACAGGCACAGGAGAGGAGUUUCAGGCAGGAAUCAAGACUCCGAGAGUUUGUGCAACUCCUGGAGCAUUUUGAAAAUUUGAACUUGAGGCCCGGCGCGGUGGCUCACGCCUGUAAUCCCGG
rnacentral:lncRNA from 10 species